GCUUUCUGGACUUAGGGUCCAGUGAGGAAAGCAUCCAACAUCUAUGACAAAUAGUGAAUAAGAAACUGUACAUUAACUAUGGAGAAAGAGCUGUGAGGGAAAGGAGGCCUUUGACAUUUUAGACUAUCUCUUAGCCCUUCUCCUGCCUCUUAAUUAAGAGGUGCUUUCUCUUUGCACUGGACCCUGGAAAUGAUACAGUCAUCCCCGCUUGGUUCCUUCUGGCCGGCAACUUCUGUCUGGUCUUCCCCUCCUGCUUCUAGAAAGGAAACAAGAAGUCAUUUAAAGAUAUUGCUGAGAUCAGGGACGAGUCAUUUCUUGUCUCUUUUCUGUCCUUCUGAAGGUCACUAUGACCAGCUCCACCUCAGACCUUAGAAGUUACCCGGUCUGAGGAGAGGAGACAAAGUCGUCUAUCACUCGCUGGCUUGGAAGUCAUGAAUCUUCCUGCCAGCGAGCUAUUUCUUUGCAGACACUUACUAUGUCCCCAGUUCUGGGUUAGUGUUGGCUCUGGGCAGGACCAAUUAGGGAUGCAGGACAGGAACCAUAAAGCAAGCUUCCAGGAAAUGAGGCUCCAAGUUCACAGUCAGCUUUAUUUAAGGGCUUGUUUGCAAGCACAGGGACAGGGCCGUGCCAGGCAAGUUAAACAUUGUCCCUGGCCCCAAGGGGAUGGAUCAUGGCGAGUGCAGACAUGGCCUGGUGCAGAGAGGGUGAGAAGACAGCCUGACCACUGAUAAGGUAAGCCUAUAGACAGUUGUCACAAGCAUGACACUGCUCACUGUUGCUCUCUAACCUUGGUCCAGAAUCACGGGCAUUCCAUAGUUGGCAACUGGGCUACGUCUGGUUCAUCGCAAGCUGUCAUGGAAGGAGAAUGUAUGUCAGGAGCCACUGUGCCCUGCCCCCCCCCCCCCCCGCCCCACUCUCAGGUCUUUCCCAGGGCCUACCUCAUAGUUUCCAAACCUUUCAAGACUGCGGUAAUGCCCUCUCUACCGGUACAUUUUAAGCCCCGCUACUUUGUUUGUUACUAUAAAAGUCGCAUCAGACAUUCCCAGACCCCAAGAGGCCAGACAAACGCCAACUGUCCUCCUGUGGUCCUGCUAGACACAUCUAGAAUAACCCAGUCAGUCAAUGGACAGGGGAGACAUCUCUGUGUAGCCUGGCAGGUGGGGGAAGUAUCCCGUGUGGGACAUACCUGCCUGUCCUCAGUUAUCUGAAAUUCCAGUGUAGGCGGACAUCCUGUACUUUCUCAGCAGCUUCUGUGAAAUGGGUGAAUCCAGAAAGGACAAAGACUCUAGAGGAUUCUGAAGGUCCCCAGGAAGGGUCAGAAGGGACCCUAUUACUGUGGCUGCUAACUGCCUGCUGUCAUGUCUGCUGGUAUACCCAGGCCUAGGCAUAGCUCCUCUGUGCACUGGGAUGGGUGUGCCGGGCCUUUUCCUCCUCUCCACCACUAAGCUCUCCCCAGGGAUGGGACACAGUGAGGGUCCCAUCCCAACCUUGGCCCAGGACUCAAGAGGCCCACCAGGCCAUCAGAAGGCCGUUCUUGUUUCCUCACUGACUAGCAGCAAAAUGCAACACUCUUGGCUCAAACAAUACAGAAAAUGUCCCCUCCAUCUUAAUUAGUCCUAGCACAGGCAGCUCCAGUGUUGGCUAAUUCAGUGUUAGCAGAGACUGUUAUUUUGACCUGUAGCCUGUGCGACUCUUUCUUGUACCCAGGGCAUGUCGCCUUAUGUCCUUUAUUGGCUUCAGAUGGCUGCUGCACGUCUCAAUGUCUGCCUGAGGACAUGGUAACAAGCCAUCAAGGAAGAAGAGAGGGUGGCUUGCCCAGAUGUUCAAGCCCAUGAUGUCAUUCUCAGGAACUCCCAUCAGAUAGCUCCUGUGUGUGUGUUUGAGCUGAAGUUGUCACGUGCUUGCAUGUACGUCAGCCUAAGGCACAGCAGUGGCCUCUGACUGUCACUGUUUGUUGCUGGAGUGGUCCCUGGGUGUUCAGUGCAUGGAGUGGAGACACACACACACACACACAUACACACACACCUGAGCUACACCAGGUUCUCUAACCACUCCCUACCUUAUUCUAUAAAGACUUCGAGGUUGUUGUUUUUAAUCUGUUUUCUCAUUAAAAACUCAAGCAUUACAGAGAACCAUGACUAAAAAAAAUUCCAAUAAUUUAACUCAUUCUAACCAUACUUGGGUCUAUGACAAAUUACCUAAUUUUAUUUCAUACAAAUGUAAUCCGAUUUUAAUUUAGGUUUUUGUUUUUCUGUUUCUUUCUCUUUUCCUUAUUUUGGGCUUUUGAGAUGAGAGUUUUAAGAUGUAUCCCUGCCUGCCCUGGAACUCACUAUAUAGACCAGGCUGGACUCAAACUUGUGGCCACCAUCUGAGUAUUGGGAUUUCAGGCCUGCACCACCAGGGGCAGCUAACCUCCUACUUCAUCAUUUUAAUGCCACUUCACACGUUUCCCUUUGCCAUUUUAAUUUAAUUAUACUAGCAAUCACAUGCGGCUUUGGUCAGGUUCUUAGGUGACAGCCGCAGCUCUGUCUCCCAUGGACAGCCUUAUAGAAGAACCUCGCGGUAACCCAUUUCACAGGAGAGGCUACACAUUCCUCAUGCUUAACAACAUCCAGUGAGCAAUGGCUGGUGGACCACAAACUGAUGUGUGCAUGGGCAUGUGCAUGUGUGCAUGUGUGUGUGCUCGUGAGCACACAGGCUUGCAUGCAUGUGCAUGUAUUGUGCAUGUGUGCACAUGAAGGUAGGCAUGGCAUGCCUUAGUGUGCAUGUGGAGGUCAGAACGGAGGACAGACUUGGGGAGCCAGUUCUCACCUUCUACCUUGCUUGGCAUGGGGUCUUUGGCCAUUUCUGUUGCUAAGCUCUGUACCCCAGGCUGGCUGACUUGUGAGCUUCUGGGUGAUUCUCUUGUCCACAACUCCCAUCUUGCUGUAGAAGUGCUGGGAUUGCAGAUGCAGGCUGUUGCAGCUGGGCUUUUUCUGUGAGUUCUGGGGAAUCUCAGGCUGCCGUGCUUAUUUGUAAAAUGCUUUACCCGCUGAGCCACCUCCCUGUUUCGUGUCUCAGCUCGGACAGCUGACAUCAUCCUUCUUUUCCUAUGGAUAGCUGCCACCAUCCAUGGUGGCAGAGGUCGCCAUAUAUAUAUACAUAUACAUAUGUGUGUGUGUGUGUGUGUGUGUGUGUGUGUGUGUGUGUGUGUGUAGGAACAUAUUCAUAAAAUGUAUCCGUUUUCUUCUCACUUUAUUACAUCAUUGGGUGAUAUUCCCCUGAAGAUAACAUGGUGUGUCAGUUACGGUUUCUAUGGCUGCAAGAAUACACCAAGACCAAAAAGCAAGUUGGAGAAGAAAGGGUUUCUUUGGCUUACACUUCCAUGUCAUUGUCAUCACCACAGGAAGUCAGGACAGGAACUCAAGAAACACAGGAACCUGGAGACAGGAGCAGAUGCAGAGGCCAUGGAGGGGUGCUGCCUACUGGCUUACUCCCCCUGGCUUGCUCAGCCUCCUUUCUUACAGAACCCGAGACCACCAUGCUUUCUUACAGAACCCGAGACCACCAGUGCAGGGAUGGCACCACCCACAAGGGGCUGUGCCCUCUCCUGUUGAUCGCUAAUUGAGAAAAUGCUUUAUAGCUGGAUAUCAUAGAGGUAUUUCCUCUGGAGCUCCUUCCACUCUGAUAGCUGUAGAUUGUGUCAGGUUGACCAAAAAAAAAAAAAAAAAAGGCCAGUACACAUGGCAUCAAAGGUCAAGAGAAAGUAGAGCUUUUCCCACACUACUCUGGAAAAGCCAAAAACAAACUGACUAUAGCAUUACCUGCAAGGUCUAAAUAUUGGGUUUGCCCAAUCACAUAUUGUUGCUGUUGUUUUCAGGUCUCCUUAUGAAGCUGAAGGUAACCUUGGCCUCUUGAUCCUCCUGCCUCAGGCUUCUUGGGUGCUGGAAUUCCAGACACAUUCCUUUACAUGCGGUUCUGUCAAUUAGCUAUGUUUUUUAGACUUAUUUUUAAUUAUGUGUAUCGAGAGAGAGAGAGAGAGGUAUGUGCAUGUGAAUUACAGUGCCCACAGGGGCCAGAGGUUGGCACUGGAUGUCCUGGACCUGAAGUUACAGCUGGUUCCAAGCUACCUGACGUGGGUGCUGAGAACCAAAUUCUAGUCCUCUGUGAGAGCAGCCCACACUCCUAACCACCGAGCCAUCUCUCCAACCCCUCGGCCACCAAGUUUUACUUGUCUCAUACUUUUCAUUCAAAAUCUUUCAGUUUUCAAGAGGAGCUCGGUGCUUCCUUGUCCCCAUGUUGCGCAUGUUGCCUGUGACUGUGGAGCAGCCGCCUCCGACCACAGGGCCACGGGGUGUUUAUGUCCUACGCUUACUGCUGUGUUGUUUACAAAUGUUUUCUGCCCUGUGGCUCGGGGAAUUGUUCUUAAUUAGCCUGGAAAUGGAGACCAUCUGGGCAAUGUUUUUACCUAUUCUUCUUCUUCUUCUUUCUUCUUCUUCUUCUUCUUCUUCUUCUUCUUCUUCUUCUUCUUCUUCUUCUUCUUCUUCUUCUUCUUUCAUAUAUGAUCAGCUUUUGUGAUGGGUUUGUAGAACAUGGAAAUGUACCUUACCCUGUGAAAACUGGGUUUUCAAGAAUCCUUUUUGAGCCCACAGUGGUGGUUUAGCUGAGGGCUAGUGCCUGGGUGUGCAAGCUGGCUGCCAGUGACCAUACCCUGCCAUCCUUGUUCUCUGGCCAUCUGUCCACCUCCGCAACAGAGUGGCAAGUGACACGCCCAGGCCCAGAAAGCCAGACAGAGUGGCGGCUGGAGACUCCACAGAAUCCUUGUAAUUUGAAAUGGAAAAGGUCUGUUGGCUUGUGUGGUGUUGUCCUCCCAUGGGGCCCCAACCCGCUUUAGAAGGUGACAUAAAAUUUACCUUGUCACUCUGAGCACUCAAUUGGCUUUUCUGGGCCUUAUCUGAGAAUUCAAGAUCUAGGCCAGCUCGGGAAUUUGAAUGUGGAUCUGGUACCAUUUAGGGAUGCCACCGAAAGCCGGAUGCUCUCGGAGACUGGCACUCCUCAUAGGCUGUUCUGCAUUCCAGGGUGGCUACAACAAAUGACAGUAUCUCUUCUAGUCUGCAGGUUUGAAAACAAAAGACUUCUUGGUCUGCAACAACCUUCCAGACUUUCUAGAAGGCUUUGUGUCAAAGAACCCAAGGACAGAAGUUGAUAAAAGGGCAUCUCCUGUACUGAACUUGGAGAGAAUCACUGUCCAGUCCAGUGCCUUUCACUAUGUUGUUAACCUAUUGUUUCUUGCUUAUUUUUAUUACUGUUUUAUGCUUAUCCCAUGUAUUGAGUUCAAUUUUGUGACACUAUGCUCUUUUGUUUCAAGUUAAUCUUUUAAAACUUUGUUCUGCUUUUUGACUGAAACACUAAGAUCUUGGUUUUGUGGGCAGGCGAUGGGCUUGGUGAGCUCUUUGACCUUCACUGCGCAGAAGGGGAAACCAUCUCUCGUGUGCUUCUGGAAAGGCCAGCAACUGGCUCUGCUGAAUGAGAGUUAGCAUCCUCCUCAACAUCCCCUAGCAGCUGGAACACAGGGAGACCGUCUGGGUGGGUUGAUGUCUGUCCAAGCGACUGAGUGCUUGGGAGUUGGGGGGCAGGAGAAAAAAUCCCUCCCAGUCACUUCAUUGUUGGGGUCCCAGAGCCCUGGGCUGAUCCUCAGGCAUGAUUUCAGUGACAGAGAUCUGGUCUCAGAGAUGGGGAGGAAACCCCUAGAACGCCUACCCUCCAGCUCUGAAGGGCCAGCCAGUCUCUUGGAACAGGAAAGCAGCAACCACAAACAGGAAUUUCCUCAUGGGAGAUUGAAGGGAUGUGUGCAUGGAAGUGCACAUUGGUGUUUUGCAUGUUUGCAGUUGACCCAGGAAGUUGGUAGGGUAUGAGGCAGAGGGAAUCAAAACCUUCAAAUCUCUUCCCUCCCUCUGGCCGCAAGAAAGGCUUCUGGAAAAUGUGAGCUUUGUGAUAAGGGAAUGAGCUCCUAAAUAUUUACAAAAUUCUAGGAUGUGUUGGCUACAGAAGAGGGUGGCCUCCAUACGAAGCCUUUCAGUUACCAACCUUGAGCUUUCCUUAGAAUCUCUGGUGGACCAUGGUUACCAAACGUUGCCCUGAUUUACUGCCUGUUUGAGAAUUCAUCUCCAAACAUUUAAGGCCAAGGAAGAGCAACUGUGUGAGUGUUUUUUAAUUACUGAAGUACUCAUGUGGUAAAUCUCUGAGUCUGUCUGGGAAGGAGUUUGUCCCGUAGUGGGAAGGUCAUUCCAGUUCAAGAUUUUAAAUGAGCCGGAGGCUGGAUGAUGCUAACAGACUUUCUCUUAUAAAAGACUCUUGUGGCCGUGGGCCCCGCAGUGUGGAGUACCCAUCACUUACUGUGUAAGUAGUUGGUGAUUUCAGAAACAGGCCUGGCUGUCGGCUUGCCAGAUGAUGCGCUGCUUAACCUCACGUAUAAACCUCCUUCCUCUGUCGUUGUUAUCUCAAGGGCCUUUGUCACAUCACUUCGCUCAUUUCCCUAGUGAGAAACCGUGACACACUCCAGAAGGGCAGCUCCUAUGGCUGCCUGCUCGGUUUUUUUCACAGCGAGCCAGGAAAAGGUGAGUCACGUUCCUCUCCAGUCUCGUUCACCUUCACCAGUAGCGCACACACAGUUAAUACAGGAAAUACGCAUUGCAGCGUACACAAGAAACUGUCAGCGACCAGUUGUGUCGGCAGCGGCUAGCCUAGAUUAUAUAAUGUUUUAAGAGAUAAGUCACGUUAGUGCUUUUGUGGCCAUGUAUAAUUACAUUGGAGAACUAAUUUACUGAGUUAAUAAUUAGUAAUGUGACUUUAUGGCAUGCUAACCAUUCUGAAGUACUUGUCCUGUUAGCAUUUAUUGCUAAUUAGUAGAGUAGCCCCAUUUUCAUUACUGAGAAGGUACACUGCUUUCAGUUUGCGACUGCAUUAUUAAAGUCUAAAUAGACAAGCAAACGGUACUUAGACAUGGGUCCUAUGAGAUCUGGGGAAUAGAAGUUUCAGGACUACGGUACUAAAUGCAGAAAUCCAUGGCCUUUGUAAGCUGUCAGUGGAGUAAGACAGUGUAGCACCCUGAGAAAUGAAGAUUUUAAAAAAACAAAAAACAGAAACAGCAGUCCUGGCCCCAAAAGUUGUUGAAUCUGGCCACUUAAAAAGCAAAAAGAAGAUGUAAGUCUUUGAGAGUUAAGGGCUUACAUUGUCCCUUGCAAUUGUCCCAAAAGUCCCUAUGGUGAUGCACAUCUAUAAUCCAUUCCAGUCCUUAGGUAAGGCAGGAGGAUCACCAGUUUGAGACUAGCCUGGGCUAUACACGCUGUCUCAUUAAGAAAAAAAGAAAGG
rnacentral:lncRNA from 1 species